AACUGGAGGAUGACAAAUCAAAAUUUUUUUCCUAAUUUUCAGCUUUUUUUUCUCUUCAAAAAAAAUUAAAUCUAACUAAAAAUGCUAAAAAUUAGGAGGAAAAAUCUGAUUUGUCAUUCUCCUAUU
rnacentral:pre_miRNA from 1 species